AACAAACGCUGGCGGCGUGCCUAACACAUGCAAGUCGUACGAGAAAGGGUCCUUCGGGGCCUGAGUAAAGUGGCGCACGGGUGAGUAACGCGUGGAUAAUCUACCCUUCAGUUGGGAAUAACUCAUCGAAAGGUGGGCUAAUACCGAAUAAUGCUGUGAGACCUCGGUCGAUCAGCCAAAGAGAGCCUCUGCUUGCAAGCCCUCGCUGAAGGAUGAGUCCGCGUACCAUUAGCUAGUUGGUAGGGUAAUGGCCUACCAAGGCGACGAUGGUUAGCUGGUCUGAGAGGAUGAUCAGCCACACUGGAACUGAGACACGGUCCAGACUCCUACGGGAGGCAGCAGUGAGGAAUCUUGCGCAAUGGGGGCAACCCUGACGCAGCAACGCCGCGUGAGUGAGGAAGGUCUUCGGAUCGUAAAGCUCUGUCGGAUGGAAAGAACCGCAUAGGGGUAAAUAGCCCCUGUGUCUGACGGUACCAUCAAAGGAAGCACCGGCUAACUCCGUGCCAGCCGCCGCGGUAAAAC
rnacentral:rRNA from 1 species